rnacentral:rRNA from 1 species
UACGUAGGGUGCGAGCGUUAAUCGGAAUUACUGGGCGUAAAGCGUGCGCAGGCGGUUUUGUAAGCCAGAUGUGAAAUCCCCGGGCUUAACCUGGGAACUGCAUUUGUGACUGGCGGGCUAGAGUAUGGCAGAGGGGGGUAGAAUUCCGCGUGUAGCAGUGAAAUGCGUAGAGAUGUGGAGGAAUACCGAUGGCGAAGGCAGCCCCCUGGGCCAAUACUGACGCUCAUGCACGAAAGCGUGGGGAGCAAACAGG